rnacentral:lncRNA from 1 species
CAUUAUAUAUAAUUUCAAAAAUAAUAAAUAUAUGUAAACAUACAACAUAAAAAAUAGAAAUACUACAUUAAACAUAUGUAAGAUUACCAUUUUACAUUUUUAUUUAAAAAUAAUAAUAUGUAAACAUACAACAUAAAAAAUGGAAAAACUACAUUAAUUAAACAUAUGUAAGAUUACCAUUUUUCACUAAAAAAAGACGGCUUAUCUCCAUAAUGUAAUAUUAGUAAAAAAACAUUAUAUAUAAUUUCGAAAAUAAUAAAUAAUAUGUAAACAUACAACAUAAAAAUGGAAAUACUACAUUAAACAUAUGUAAGAUUACCAUUUUACAUUUAAAAAUAACAAUAAUAUGUAAACACUCAACAUAAAAAAAAUAGAAAAACUACAUUAAACAUAUGUAAGAUUACAAUUUUCACUAAAAAAACGGCUUAUCUCCAUAAUGUAACAUUACCAUUAUAUAAAAAAAGAAAAAAAACAUAAAUAUAACUAUUUGACUAUUUGUCCAAGUUCUUCUAUUAAACCUUUCCG